UUAUAUUCUGUAGCAAGGUUAACCGAAUAGGGGAGCCGGAGGGAAACCGAGUCUUAAUUGGGCGUUAAGUUGCAGGGUAUAGACCCGAAACCCGGUGAUCUAGCCAUGGGCAGGUUGAAGGUUGGGUAACACUAACUGGAGGACCGAACCGACUAAUGUUGAAAAAUUAGCGGAUGACCUGUGGCUGGGGGUGAAAGGCCAAUCAAACCGGGAGAUAGCUGGUUCUCCCCGAAAGCUAUUUAGGUAGCGCCUCGUGAAUUCAUCUCCGGGGGUAGAGCACUGUUUCGGCUAGGGGGCCAUCCCGGCUUACCAACCCGAUGCAAACUGCGAAUACCGGAGAAUGUUAUCACGGGAGACACACGGCGGGUGCUAACGUCCGUCGUGAAGAGGGAAACAACCCAGACCGCCAGCUAAGGUCCCAAAGUCAUGGUUAAGUGGGAAACGAUGUGGGAAGGCCCAGACAGCCAGGAUGUUGGCUUAGAAGCAGCCAUCAUUUAAAGAAAGCGUAAUAGCUCACUGGUCGAGUCGGCCUGCGCGGAAGAUGUAACGGGGCUAAACCAUGCACCGAAGCUGCGGCAGCGACACUCAGGUGUUGUUGGGUAGGGGAGCGUUCUGUAAGCCUGUGAAGGUGUGUCGUGAGGCAUGCUGGAGGUAUCAGAAGUGCGAAUGCUGACAUAAGUAACGAUAAAGCG
rnacentral:rRNA from 1 species